AAGAGUACCAAACAUCCAGUCCAUCCAUAUUGUGUAAUGACCAUAAUUAUGUCGAUAUGUUGUAUGGUGAAUAGUAUGAUAGCCAGCACCCAUUACAGGCCACACCUUCCCAUGUAUGCAGUCAUGAAUAUUAGCAGUCCAUAAGGCUUCCACGAAUAUGAGCGCUAUGUGUGUAGUGAAAUGCAUU